AAAUAAGGGCGGCGGCGGUGGUGGUGGAGGAGGAGGUGGAGGCGGCGGCAAUGUAAGCAAUAUUUGUGUUAUGCAACAUGCGUAUUAAUUAAAAAAGGCGGCGGCGUUGGCGGUGGUAGUGCAGGAGGAGCCGCAGCAGCCGCUGGAGCUGCUGGAAAUAAAAACAAAGGCGGUGGGGCUGGCGGUGACAAAGGUGGAGCCAAGAAAGGAGCAGACCAAAAGCCACCCCCAGGCGCUGGAAAGAAAGGAGGCAAGAAAUAGCAGUAGCCCUAAUGCCAAUGUGGCAACAUCAAAGCGCAUUAUAAAAUACAAAUUUAGAAUUAAGGUGAAAUUAAAAGGAUAUCAGGGAAUAUACUAUAUAUGUACACAUCUAUAAUGUAUGUAUGUAUAAAUCGCUCUUACAAAUAGCA